AUUUAAUGAUAUAAUUACAAGUAAAAUAAAUUAUUUAAUAUUAAUUAUUUUCAUAGAAAUGGAACAAUAACAAUAGUAUAGCAAUUUUGACAUAUUUCUUUCUAUUGAUGUAUAGUGUUUUCAUAUUUUAUUACAUUGGUGAUCAAAUCGAGUGCAUCUCAGUUUCAGAGCAUAAACGCGCAACAAAAAAUGUAUAAUUUUUUAAUAAUAACAUCCUACACACUUCUUCCAAUGCACUUUUAUUUUAUAUUAGCAAGUAAUCCUUACUUUUUAAUUCACAUCAACCUCACAUUUUCAAUAUCCAAAGAAAUGAAGAUAUGACGAAGGGAUUAUCUUAAAAUCGAUUCUCCACAAGAGGUGGUGUGUUUUUACGUCGAUGCUAGCGUCCCGAACAAAAACACUUCACACAAUGUUAAUCGCGCACAGACUAUACAGAGACUAUAUUACAUUAGACUGUAUGUGCAGAGAAAAGGAUAUCUGCAAUUCGAGCGCAAGCGCCAACGACCUUGCAAUCAAUGCCGCGCGUCUGCCUCGUGCAGUCUUUGACAGUCGCUGUGAUCGCGAACAUGCCAAGUGCACACGACGAAAAGGAUCCCCCUUAUCAGCAAGACAUUCGAUAUGUCUUCAAGCUGAACAAAUGGAUUCUGGGUUCAAUCGGUAUCUGGCCAGUGUCGGAACAAGGCUUCGGGCGGCAUGCGUCCAAGAUCGCGAUCGCGCUCGGUAAUCUCACAUUAAGUUUCGCGAUGGUGCCUUUCGCUUUGCACAUUGUCUAUGACGAGAAGGACAUUAUCAUGAGACUGAAGCUAAGCGGCCUGCUGGCUUUCUGCAUCGUUUCGAUGACGAAGUAUUGCAUUCUCGCGAUACGCCGUCCUAAAAUACAGCAAUGUAUCGAAUACGUAAAAAAUGAUUGGUGGAAGGUAACGUUCAAAUCCAAUCGGGAACUGAUGUUAAAAUAUGCUACCAUCGGACGCAAUUUAACAAUAAUUAGCGCAUCUUUCAUGUACACCGCCGGCAUUAUUUAUUUCAUGAUUCUGAUUCCGUUCUUUUCCGAGACCAAGAUCAACAAUCAAACGGUCAGACCACUUGUAUAUCCAAUUUAUAAUGCAUUUUACCAAUCCCAGAUUAGCCCGAUAUACGAAAUUGUAUAUGUGGCUCAUUGCCUGUGUGGAUAUACCACAUAUUCAAUAACAGUCGGUGCUUGUGGAUUAGCUGCUGUGUUUGUCACUCAUGCAUGCGGCCAGAUCCAUAUGAUUCUAUUACAAUUGGAAGAUCUAUUAAACGGUGAAAAUUCAGACAUUCAUCAACGAAUUGCUAUUAUCGUGAAGGACCACGUCCGCGUAAUGAGGUUUUCAGCCGUGAUAGAAGAAAUUUUACAAGAAGUAUGUUUAGUGGAAUUCUCUAGUUCUGUAUGCACGAUAUGUCUACUCGAAUACUACUGUAUAGUGGAUUGGCAAGCGAACAAUAAGCUUAGUUUAGCAAAUUACUUUUUGCUCUUCAUUUCAUUCUGCUUUAAUAUAUACAUAUUAUGCUAUAUUGGCGAGCUUCUCAUAGAAAAGUCAAAUUGGAUCGGUGUGCUUUAUGAUCAAUUGGUACCAAUUAUCUCCCAAAUCAGUUCGCAGUCUUAUAAUGAUAAUUGCAAUAUCUAGCAAUCCCAUAAAGCUUAGUGCUGGUAGAAUGGUAGAUUUAUCAUUAACAACUUUUGGAAAUGUACUGAAAACUAGCGUGGCGUAUCUGAGCUUCCUACGGACAUUAGUUAUGUAAAUAUGACUGCAAUUGUUUGACACAAUUAAAAAAAUAUUUUAACUUUGAUCUAGUUAAUCUAUUCAGUGUAGAAUCUUGGUAUAUAUAAAAUAAUAUUAUUUAGAAUAUUAUCUCAAUAUAUUAGAUGUCUACAUAGUCGCAUAGUUUUUUCUCGUUAAUUAUAUUCUCGUUAAGAUAUCUAUGCAUAAAUAGUCUCUUUUUUACUUUAUUAACGCGUGCUAAAAAUUAAUUUAAUUCUGAUAAUUAAAUAAAGCAAAUUGUUAAC